GCCACUUCCCCAAGGUCUACCAUGCCAUCUCCAUGCUCCAACCCCCCAUCGAGCAAUUCGUGGAGCAGCACCCACCUGAUUGCAUCGUCGCCGACUUCCUCUUCCCCUGGGUCCAUGACUUGGCCAACAAGCUUAACAUUCCCAGCGUUGCCUUCAACGGCUUCUCCCUCUUCGCAAUCUGCGCCAUACGCGCCGUCAACCUUGAAUCUUCCGAUUCUUUUCACAUUCCCAGUAUCCCUCACCCCAUCUCCCUCAACGCAACACCGCCCAAGGAGUUAACCCAAUACCUGAAACUGAUGCUGGAGUCACAGCUCAAGAGCCACGCUAUCAUCAUCAACAACUUCGCCGAGCUUGACGGACAAGACUACAUCCGCCACUACGAGAAAACCACUGGCCACAAGACUUGGCAUCUUGGCCCGGCCUCUCUUAUAAGCUGCAGGACCGCUCAAGAGAAAGCAGAGAGGGGCAUGAAGAGCGCGGUGAGUAUGCAGGACUGUGUGAGUUGGCUUGACUCGAAGCGAGUCAACUCGGUGGUGUACGUAAGUUUUGGGAGCCUCUGCUAUUUCCCGGAUAAGCAGCUUUACGAGAUAGCAUGCGGGAUGGAAGCGUCGGGUUAUGAAUUCAUAUGGGUGGUUCCGGAGAAGAAAGGGAAGGAAGAAGAGAGCGAGGAAGAGAAGGAGAAGUGGCUGCCAAAGGGGUUUGAAGAGAGGAAGAAGGGGAUGAUUAUCAAGGGGUGGGCCCCACAGGUGGUGAUUCUGGAGCACCCUGCGGUUGGUGCGUUUUUGACGCAUUGUGGGUGGAACUCCACGGUGGAGGCGGUGAGUGCUGGGGUUCCCAUGAUUACGUGGCCGGUGCACAGCGAUCAGUUCUACAACGAAAAGUUAAUAACUCAGGUGCGGGGUAUUGGGGUGGAGGUGGGUGCAGAGGAGUGGAACCUCAGUGCUUACUUCCAGACCCAGAAGCUGCUGCCCAGAGAUCGCAUAGAGAUGGCUGUGAGGACCCUCAUGGACGUUUCUGAUCAAGCCCUGCAAAUCAGACGCCAAGCGCAAAACUUUAGCAGAAUCGCAAGACAAGCUGUUCAAGUGGCAGGCUCAUCAUACAAUAAUUUAACAGCCUUGAUUCAUUAUGUAAAACGAUUCAGAGACUCUGCUGAGGGAUAAAAAAUAUCAAUUUUAAUGAAAUAAAAAUCAUAUAAUUCAACCAUGGUUUGAUUUUGAUUAUUAUUAUAAGAAAAUAUGAGAAUAGGCAAGGCUAAUAAAUGAUGGGGUCUAUAAAUGGCCUAUGCUUGAUCGAGUUGAAAUGAUAAAUACUGAGAUGGAGCCACUCAAACUCUACUUCAUUCAUUACCCAACAGCAGGUCACAUGAUCCCUCUCUGCGACAUAGCCACGCUCUUCGCCUCUCGCGGCCACCACGCCACUAUCAUCACCACCCCCGUCAACGCCCAAAUCAUUCGCAAAUCCAUCCCCUCCCUCCGCCUCCACACCGUUCCCUUCCCCUCCCAAGAACUGGGCCUCCCCGACGGCAUCGAAAGCCUCUCCUCCCUCAUUGACGACAUCCGCCACUUCCCCAAGGUCUACCAUGCCAUCUCCAUGCUCCAACCCCCCAUCGAGCAAUUCGUGGAGCAGCACCCACCUGAUUGCAUCGUCGCCGACUUCCUCUUCCCCUGGGUCCAUGACUUGGCCAACAAGCUUAACAUUCCCAGCGUUGCCUUCAACGGCUUCUCCCUCUUCGCAAUCUGCGCCAUACGCGCCGUCAACCUUGAAUCUUCCGAUUCUUUUCACAUUCCCAGUAUCCCUCACCCCAUCUCCCUCAACGCAACACCGCCCAAGGAGUUAACCCAAUAC
rnacentral:lncRNA from 1 species